GUCACCAUCAUGAAGAAACUGCUUUGUGCAUAUGUCUCCUGUGUUCUUAUGUUGGCCCCUCAUCUCUCUCACCAGGCAGCACUGGUAGAUUCUUCUUCCUCCUUUCCAUCUCCAACCACAGAUGGCCGAGACCUAGGCAGAAAGUCACUGAAGGAGGUUGGCUUCCCACCGCCGAAUUGUGCAGGCAAAGAGAAAGCUGAGAUGUUUCCUAGGACGAAGGAAUCAAAGCUCAAGGUCAGUUCACUAGGCAACGAGCACAAGAAGCACGAGGAAGGGGAAGGUCUCAUCAUCUACAGCGCAGAUUACAGUCUAGUGAGCACGCAUCCUCCUCCACUGCACAAGCAUUCCAAGCCAUAGUCUUCUAGUUGCUCCACAUGGUGUUGUUACAUUUAUGCAUGUUGGAUGUAGCUUUUCCACUGAAGUACCUUCUCUUAUGUUCUGUCACUGUUCUCCAUCGUCUUCCUCAAAUAACACCUAAAAUGUCGCUCA